rnacentral:lncRNA from 1 species
GAGAGAGAGGGAUAGAAGGAGGUAGAGAGAGAGGAAGAGAGAGACCGGGAGAAAAAGAAGUAGAGAGAGAGAGGAAGAGAGAUUGAGAGAGAGGAAGAGAGAUAAGGGAAAGAGACAGAGAGAAAGACCCAGAGAGAAGGAGGUAGAGAGAGAGUGAAAGAAAGAGAGAGCAAGAGAGAUUGAGAGAGAGGGAGAGAGUUGAGAAAGAGAAAGCAAGAGAGAGGGAGAGAGAUGAGGGUGAGUGAAAGAAAGAGAGAUUGAGAGAGAGGGAGAGAGAUGAGAGAGAUUGAGAGAGGGAGAAAGAGAGAGAUUGAGAGAGAGGGAGAGAGAGAUAGAGGGAGAGAGAUGAGUGAGAGAGAAAGAGAGAUUGAGAGAGAGAGAGAAAGAUUGAGAGAGAGGGAGAGCGAUGAGGGAGAGAGAGAAAGCCCCGGAGAGGAGGUAGAGAGAGAGAUGAGAGAGAGACCCAGAGAGAAGGAGGUAGAGAGAGAGAGAGAGAUAUAUACAGAGAGGAACAGUCUAAAAUGAUACAAAAGGCACACAAAGUGGACAGAGACUAGAAGGUGUAUAUUGCACAUUGCCUUUAAUCAUUCAUUUGCCUAAAAUGACGUUAAAUUCCCUAAAUCACUUAUUGAGGUAAUGUGAUGUCAACUCCAGGGCCUGUAUGUAUUAUCACUGUCUCAUUACUGCCUUGUACAAGUACAAUAUAUUCAUCCUGUGUAGACUAACUCAAUUUCUCUCAAAUUACAGUGAUAGUGUAUUUAUAUAACAGUGAUAAUAUGCUUUAUUCUGUGAAAGAUCAAUAACCGAACUACAGUACUUAGUGGGGGAAGUGUAGGAUUCUACAACGUGAUGUUAGCUCACCCUGGUAGUGGUGUAGAUGCACCAUUCACUUCCAUUGAUUGUUAGCUAGCGGUGGCUAAAAGUAGCUAACGUUUGUAGAUUCUGUUUGGAGAAAACCGCUCCGUUAGGUACAGUUUCUCCUGGCCCGUAAUACGAAACCAUUUAACAUCAAACUGUAAAAUCCCCUAACUUCCCCUUUUUUUUCUGUAUAUUUACUCUGUAGAUGUUGAUGUACAUUCUGUCAAAUUGAAAAUGAAUAUAUCUAUCUAUAAAUAUAGUAGGAGUGACAGGGUGAAUACUUGAGCUGUAUAUAAUAAUUGUAUAUUUUUAGAUAUUUCCGAUUUUUCCGAUUUUUGUACGUAAUGUACCCUUAUUGUGUCUGUAGAUUUACGAUGUAAAUAUAUUAUUAGUGUGAGAUUGUUGUUCUCAAUCAAAAUAACUGGAGAGACUGUACCUUGAUGUGUGUGUGUGUGUGUGUGUGUGUGUGUGAGUAUGCGGCGCGUGUGUGUGUGCAUGUGUGAGUAUGCGGCGCGUGUGUGUGUGCAUGUGCGUGUGUGUGUGAGUAUGCGGCGCGUGUGUGUGUGUGCAUGUGCAUAUAUGCGGCAUGUGUGUGUGUGAGUAUGCGGCGCGUGUGUGCGUGUUUGUGUGUGAAUACGUGCGUGCGCGCGUGUGUGUGUACAUGUAGAUGUCAUGUACAUGUUGUUAAAACUAAUUGUGUGUUUCUUGAUUUCCACCUUCAGUGAUUUCAGCUUUACUAACUGUAGUCAAGUAGACGUGAACUCAGUUGUAAUGAUGUUAAGCAACCUAUCAGUGUUAUGUGUCUCUUCAGUUGCUCUUCAGGUCAACUUUCUGACCCCACAGAAACGGCAACAUUAACAUGGUCCCACCCCACCAAAAAAUACUGUGUGACAAUUCAUGAGCAUUAGUACUGUAGAAAUCUAUCUUUUUGUCUUAGACAAAAUGGAAAUAAAAGUUACCACUUGUAUGAACCACGUUAUACAGUGUGUAGGUAGUGUCAUUUAUUUUAUAGUAUAGAUAUUUCAUUUGA